GAAUUCACUCUCACUCAGCCCCCUUCUCCUCCAUCGAACCCACCCUCACUGGCAACCCAUCUUCAUCGACGACUCACUCCCGACGACGGCAAGAAGCUCCUGAAACCCAACCGACCGACGUCUUUCCUUCUUUCUCCUUACACAGGCAAGCUCUCUCUCUCUCUCUCUCUCUCUCUCUCUCUCUCUCUCUCUCUCUCUGUGUGUGUGUGUGUUUCUUGAUUGUGUUUUUGUUUGUUUGGGGGGAUAAGAUUGGAAUAUCUUAUUCAAGUAAUUUUGAUUCAGUUUUUUGUGGGUUUUGACUAGAGUCUUUUUGAGGGUUUUUUGUGGCAUAAAUCAUGGGUUUGUUUUGAAUAUUUGGUUUGGGGUUUGGGAAGCUGUUUAUAAUUUUUUCUAUUUACAAUUUGUUCUGAUUCAUUUCUUUCAUUUUUUUGAGAGUUUAUUUUCCCCACCUCUGUUUCUUAAUAAUUUUUUUAUUUUUUUUUUACAUUGCUUGCUGGAGGAAGAUGCAUUUUCAGAGAUUGGUGUGUUGGUGGUGGGUGAUUUCUUUCAACAAGUGAUUGUCAGAUUAAAAAAUGGCUUCUUCUUCUACAAACAAUAGCAACAUAAGAUUAAAACCAAGACUGUGCAAUUGUGGAAGAACAACUGCCAUAUAUAUUAGUAACACUGGCCAUUGCAAUUAUUUUAAGUUCGUAGAUGAAGAUGAUGAAGAAGUUACGUCCACAAUCCGUUCCAACACUAGAGCUUGUGAUGCUAUAACAGUAGAAGAAUUUAACGAUCUAAGGGCGAAGCUUCAUGGAAUAGAAAAUAAAAAUGAUGAAUAUCGUCAAAGACUUGAAAGGAUGGAAAAUGAAAAUGAUAACUAUGGUCGAAGGCUUAAAAGGAUUGAAAAUCAUUUGAAGGCAAUGGUGUAUGUCAUUGUAAUUUUUAUGAUUUUGUACUUUAUGUUAGAAUUUAUGAUUUUUAUAGGCUUAUUUUAGGUCAACUUUGAGCUCAAAUUUGAGUGGGUCCCACACGUUUUUUAAGGUGGGUCCAAAUAGGUGACUUGUUCUUUGCCGCAUGGCAAGUCACACGGUGAAAACGAUUCGUCAAAACCAUUUAUGAGUGAAUGGAAAAUUGACAUCGUUCUCGGGUUCGUGAAAUAAACAAUUAAAGAAGUAAAAUGUGGAUUGCUUUGUAAUGGUAGUUCUACAUUGAAAACUUAAGAGAACUUAUGUGUAUAUAUAAGUUCUAGGUGGCAACACUAGGGUUAAGUCCCAAGGGGCACCCAAAGUUUGUAGAAGGGAGGA